rnacentral:rRNA from 1 species
GAUGAACGCUAGCUACAGGCUUAACACAUGCAAGUCGAGGGGAAACGAUAGAGAAAGCUUGCUUUUUUUAGGCGUCGACCGGCGCACGGGUGAGUAAAGCGUAUCCAACCUGCCCAUCACUUGGGGAUAACCUUGCGAAAGUAAGAAUAAUACCCAAUGAUAUCUUUAGAAGACAUUUGAAGGAGAUUAAAGAUUCAUCGGUGAAGGAAGGGGAUGCGUUUGAUUAGCUUGUUGGCGGGGGAACGGCCCACCAAGGCGACGAUCAGUAGGGGUUUUGAGAGGAAGGUUCCCCACAUUGGAAAUGAGACACGGUCCAAAAUCCUACGGGAGGCAGCAGUGAGGAAUAUUGGUCAAUGGGCGAGAGCCUGAACCCGCCAAGUAGCGUGCAGGAAGACGGCCCUAUGGGUUGUAAAAUGCUUUUAUAAGGGAAUAAAGUGGGAGUCGUGACUCCUUUUGCCUGUACCUUAUG